CCAAGGAGUCUAACAUGUGCGCAAGUCAUGGGGUUGUACGAAACCUAAAGGCGCAAUGAAAGUGAAGGCAGCCUCGGGUUUGCCUAGGUAGGAUCCCUCUCGGCACGAGGGGGCGCACUACUGGCCCGUCUCGUCUGCAUUGCAGUGAGGCGGAGCAAGAGCGUACACGUUGGGACCCGAAAGAUGGUGAACUAUGCCUGAGUAGGACGAAGCCAGAGGAAACUCUGGUGGAAGUCCGUAGCGAUUCUGACGUGCAAAUCGAUCGUCAAACUUGGGUAUAGGGGCGAAAGACUAAUCGAACCAUCUA
rnacentral:rRNA from 1 species